rnacentral:lncRNA from 1 species
GUUAGGUGUCUCUAUACAUCAGAGUCUAAGGAAAUAUAAAAAAGAAAACAACAUAGGAGGGAAUAAAGGGGGACUCCGAGGUUUGCGGACGCUGGCAGAUAUACCUUGAAGUCACCGUAGCAGCAGCAAGUACACUCAGCUAAUAGCGGGGCUGGUAGGAGGUACCUGGGUCUGCACACAAAACAUAUACAGAAGAGUAGCAUGAGUACACCACAACGGUACCUAGUAAAUACCAAGCCUAACCUCGGUAGGGUAGUGACGAGGUCAGGUCAGGUCCCUACUGGGAUAUAAUUAUAAGACAGAAGAUAUAACUACAUGAUGAAAGAUUGAGAAUUUAACAAAGAGAAUUUAUAGAAAAGUAACAACAUAACACAUAGAGGUAAACAACAGGGGCGCUCUUGAGAUACCGUCUCGUAGUCCCAAAAGUAAAUACUCAACAGGGGAUCUCCCGAGGUACCGACUCGUAGUCCCAAAAGUAAAUAUGCAAGGGGAUCUCCCGAGGUACCGCCUCGUAGUCCCAAAAGUAAAUAUACAAGAGGAUCUCCCGAGGUACCGCCUCGUAGUCCCAAAAGUAAAUAUACAAGAGGAUCUCCCGAGGUACUGCCUCAUAGUCCCAAAAGUAAACACACAGCUCUAAACCGAUGGAAACAACAAUUAACAACAAGAAUCCUAUAGUUUAAGACUAAUACAAAUCAAGGAAAGUCAGGAAUUCAACUAAGCAUGCUGCACAGAUUUAAAAUAAGUAUUUAAGACACGUAGACAUGCGAUAUUAGGCUAAACAAGAUAACUACACAUGCUGGGAUGACUCAUUUAAGAUGUAACAGGUUAUUGUUAAUUAAAAAUUGAAUUUUCAAUAAUUAGCCCGUAUACGCACUCGACACCUCGCGUACAAGGCACUCACAUAUCACAGAAUUUCCACAAUAGUAUCAAGACCUAAAGGGGUUUCCCCCACACAAAGUUAGGCAAGCCACUUACCUCGAACCAACCUCAAUCAAUCAGUAAGAAUGCCUUCUCCACGACUUUCCGACCCCGGAUGGCCCA